GACGAACGCUGGCGGCGUGCUUAACACAUGCAAGUCGAACGAUGAACCGGAGCUUGCUCUGGGGAUUAGUGGCGAACGGGUGAGUAACACGUGGGCAACCUGCCCCAGACACCGGGAUAACCAUUCGAAAGGAUGGCUAAUACCGGAUACGACCACUUCGGGCAUCCGAUGGUGGUGGAAAGGAUUCUGGUCUGGGAUGGGCCCGCGGCCUAUCAGCUUGUUGGUGGGGUAAUGGCCUACCAAGGCGACGACGGGUAGCCGGCCUGAGCGGGCGACCAGCCACAAGGGGGCCGAGGAACGGCCGAGACGACUACGGGGGGCAGCAGUGGGGAAGAAUGCGCAAUGGGCGAAGGCCGGACGCAGCGGCGCCGCGUGAGGGACGAAGGUCGUCGGAUUGCAAACCUCUUUCAGCAGGGAUGAAGCGAAAGUGACAGUACCUGCAGAAGAAGCACCGGCUAACUACGUGCCAGCAGCCGCCGUAAGAC
rnacentral:rRNA from 1 species